ensembl:snRNA U6 U6 spliceosomal RNA
GUGCUCACUUUGGCAGCACAUAUACUAAAAUUUGAAUGAUACCGAGAUUAACAUGGCCCCUGUGCAAGGAUGACGUGCAAAUUCAUGAAGCGUUCCAAAUUUUU